rnacentral:rRNA from 1 species
CAGCCUACGGGACGCAGCAGUAGGGAAUUUUCGGCAAUGGGGGAAACCCUGAACCAGCAACGCCGCGUGAGGGAAGACGGUUUUCGGAUUGUAAACCUCUGUCCUCUGUGAAGAUAAUGACGGUAGCAGAGGAGGAAGCUCCGGCUAACUACGUGCCAGCAGCCGCGGUAAUACGUAGGGAGCGAGCGUUGUCCGGAUUUACUGGGUGUAAAGGGUGCGUAGGCGGGUAAGCAAGUCAGAAGUGAAAUCCAUGGGCUUAACCCAUGAACUGCUUUUGAAACUGUUUAUCUUGAGUGAAGUAGAGG